rnacentral:rRNA from 1 species
UACAGAGGGUGCGAGCGUUAAUCGGAAUUACUGGGCGCAAAGGGCGCGUAGGCGGCGUAUUAAGUUAGAUGUGAAAUCCCUGGGCUUAACCUAGGAACUGCAUCUAAUACUGGUAUGCUAGAGUGCGGUAGAGGGUAGUGGAAUUUCCGGUGUAGCGGUGAAAUGCGUAGAUAUCGGAAGGAACACCAGUGGCGAAGGCGGCUACCUGGACUGACACUGACGCUGAGGCGCGAAAGCGUGGGGAGCAAACAGG